rnacentral:rRNA from 1 species
GAUGAACGCUGGCGGUAUGCUUAACACAUGCAAGUCGAACGGACUCUUCGAAGUUAGUGGCGGACGGGUGAGUAACGCGUGAGAAUCUGGCUUUGGGUUCGGGACAACCACUGGAAACGGUGGCUAAUACCGGAUGUGCCGAGAGGUAAAAGAGAAAUUGCCUGAAGAUGAGCUCGCGUCUGAUUAGCUAGUUGGUGAGGUAAAGGCUCACCAAGGCAGCGAUCAGUAGCUGGUCUGAGAGGAUGACCAGCCACACUGGGACUGAGACACGGCCCAGACUCCUACGGGAGGCAGCAGUGGGGAAUUUUCCGCAAUGGGCGAAAGCCUGACGGAGCAAUACCGCGUGAGGGAAGAAGGCUCUUGGGUUGUAAACCUCUUUUCUUAGGGAAGAACAAAAUGACGGUACCUAAGGAAUCAGCAUCGGCUAACUCCGUA